rnacentral:rRNA from 1 species
UCUAAACUUGAGUCUUUAACUUGUUCUAGGGACACUGGAAGGUGGGCAGUUGGAAUGUGGCGGUCGCCUCCCAAAAGGUAACGGAGGCGCUCAAAGGUUCUCUCAGUACGGUCGGAAAUCGUACGUAGAGUGUAAAGGCAAAAGAGAGCUGGAUUGCAAGACAUACAGGUCGAGCAAGGAUGAAAAUCGGACUUAGUGAUCCGGUGGU